UCCAGACUCCUACGGGAGGCAGCAGUGGGGAAUAUUGCACAAUGGGGGAAACCCUGAUGCAGCGACGCCGCGUGAGUGAAGAAGUAUUUCGGUAUGUAAAGCUCUAUCAGCAGGGAAGAUAAUGACGGUACCUGACUAAGAAGCCCCGGCUAACUACGUGCCAGCAGCCGCGGUAAUACGUAGGGGGCAAGCGUUAUCCGGAUUUACUGGGUGUAAAGGGUGCGCAGGUGGCAGGGCAAGUCAGAUGUGAAAGCCCGGGGCUCAACCCCGGUAUUGCAUUUGAAACUGUCCGGCUAGAGUGCAGGAGAGGUAAGCGGAAUUCCUAGUGUAGCGGUGAAAUGCGUAGAUAUUAGGAGGAACACCAGUGGCGAAGGCGGCUUACUGGACUGUAACUGACACUGAGGCACGAAAGCGUGGGGAGCAAACAGGAUUAGAUACCCCAGUACA
rnacentral:rRNA from 1 species